rnacentral:rRNA from 1 species
UUGACCUCGAACCUUCCGUAGGAA